rnacentral:rRNA from 1 species
UGGGGAAUAUUGCACAAUGGGCGAAAGCCUGAUGCAGCGACGCCGCGUGAGGGAUGACGGCCUUCGGGUUGUAAACCUCUUUCAGCAGGGAAGAAGCGAAAGUGACGGUACCUGCAGAAGAAGCGCCGGCUAACUACGUGCCAGCAGCCGCGGUAAUACGUAGGGCGCAAGCGUUGUCCGGAAUUAUUGGGCGUAAAGAGCUCGUAGGCGGCUUGUCGCGUCGGAUGUGAAAGCCCGGGGCUUAACCCCGGGUCUGCAUUCGAUACGGGCAGGCUAGAGUGUGGUAGGGGAGAUCGGAAUUCCUGGUGUAGCGGUGAAAUGCGCAGAUAUCAGGAGGAACACCGGUGGCGAAGGCGUGGGGAGCGAACAGG